GACGAACGCUGGCGGCGUGCUUAACACAUGCAAGUCGAACGGAAAGGCCCUGCGUUUGUGGGGUGCUCGAGUGGCGAACGGGUGAGUAACACGUGAGUAACCUGCCCUUGACUUUGGGAUAACUUCAGGAAACUGGGGCUAAUACCGGAUAGGAGCUCCUGCUGCAUGGUGGGGGUUGGAAAGUUUCGGCGGUUGGGGAUGGACUCGCGGCUUAUCAGCUUGUUGGUGGGGUAGUGGCUUACCAAGGCUUUGACGGGUAGCCGGCCUGAGAGGGUGACCGGCCACAUUGGGCCUGAGAGACGGCGCAGACGCCUACGGGAGGCAGCAGUGGGGAAUAUUGCACAAUGGGCGGAAGCCUGAUACAGCAGCGCUGCGUGCGGGAUGACGUCUUUCGGGUUGUAAACCGAUUUCGCCUGUGACGAAGCGUGAGUGACGGUAAUGGGUAAAGAAGCACCGGCUAACUACGUG
rnacentral:rRNA from 1 species